rnacentral:rRNA from 1 species
UCCUACGGGAGGCAGCAGUGGGGAAUUUUGGACAAUGGGGGCAACCCUGAUCCAGCCAUGCCGCGUGAGUGAAGAAGGCCUUCGGGUUGUAAAGCUCUUUCAGCCGGAAAGAAAUCGUGCGGGCUAAUACCCUGUAUGGAUGACGGUACCGGAAGAAGAAGCACCGGCUAACUACGUGCCAGCAGCCGCGGUA